rnacentral:rRNA from 1 species
CACGCUGUAAACGAUGGGUACUAGGAUUGGUGGGAGUUGACCCCUGCCGAUCCGGAGCUAACGCAAUAAGUACCCCGCCUGGGAAGUACGGUCGCAAGACUAAAACUCAAAGGAAUUGACGGGAGCCCGCACAAGCGGUGGAUUAUGUGGUUUAAUUCGAAGCAACGCGCAGAACCUUACCUAGGUUUGACAUCCUUUGACAACUACAGAGAUGUAGCUUUCGUAGCAAUACGACAAAGAGACAGGUGC